rnacentral:pre_miRNA from 1 species
AGUUAACAAUUCCAUCUAUUUGUGUUGUUAAAAACUAGCAAGACUAACAAAAUAACCAUGUCUUGUACAUGUCUUGUACCACGUGUAUCUAAUGCAUAGGAAUCAAUUUUUAACAAUAAAAAUAGAUGGAAUUUUUAACA